UCCAUCGUGGUGUAGUGCUAGCAUUUGAGACUCUCAUUUUGAAGACUCUCAGAACCCGGGUUCAAUUCCUGGCGACAGAA